rnacentral:lncRNA from 1 species
AUUCACAAUCAUGAUCAAUGCCUCCGGGACUAUGAAAACGCCAUCAUGAAUGUUUACAUUAUUCUCUUGGGUGAGCGGAGCUUUGGAAAGGAAAAAAAGGAAAGUCUAAACUGACAAACUUCUGAAAACACUCGGGUCUGGCAGGAGUUCUCUUCUCUCCCCGAGAGCAGAAUUGGGGUUGAGCGGCACUUGGUAGGCGUGGAGCGCGCUUCAGUCUCGGGCCACUACCCCAGGCGUUUUCUCAUCUGACACUCACAGCAGCCCUCGGCUUCUCCUCUCUGCCUCCAUGAUCUGGAACCUUCAGCUGGUCAACUGAGCCACGCCCGGUGCUGUGGUGCUUCCCCAAGCUGCACACGCCGAUGGCAGUGAGGAAUGACUGCGCCCAUUGCAUCACCUCCUCGCUGUCAGUGAGCCAGUGAGCACCUGCGGCUGCUUCGAGGGGAACUACAAUAAAACUUCCAAGACAGUCCACUUUUUAGGAGGUAUAAGCAAAGAGCAAACACAACCUGUCAAUCGUGCCGAAUGCUGCUGAUGCUGUUCUCUCAUCCUAAAACAGACGAUGAAAAUGCUAAGCUCUGUAAAGAAGGACUUAGUCAUAUUCAAAAUUCUCCAAUAAACACCUCACUGUUGUGUUUCGCCAGCUCCGCAUUACACGCAAGUCUCAAUGGCCCGUGGCUCAGUGUCCUGCUCCGUGAAAUGACGGAAUUGGACACAGCUCACAGCUCACUCUGGAGUUAACUGAAGCCCUUGAAGGAAAACCACCAGGUUUUCUAAGAGUUUAUGGCAUUAUUUAUUUUUAUUAUCCUCACCAAAAAUUUAUGUUCAGCCACUUUUUUUUUCCUCUAAAUUUUCUGGAACGUUUCUCCUUAGUGUUCUUCAUUCAUGAAGCACAUAAAAGUCUCUUUGACCUUAUCUCUCUCUCUCUUUUUGUAAAGCUCUUCUUGGUAUUAUUGAAUUUUAUUCAUAGCAAGACCCAUCUGAGGCAAUCCUGGUGCAAUCUUCCUCACUUUGUCUGUCUUCCUUCCUUCCUUCUUUCCUUUCUCCCUUCCUUCUCUCUCUCUUUGUGUCUUUCUUUCUUUCUUUUUCUUUCUCUCUCUCUCUUUCUCUCUC